rnacentral:rRNA from 1 species
GACGAACGCUGGCGGCGUGCCUAAUACAUGCAAGUUGAGCGCUGAAGGUUGGUACUUGUACCAACUGGAUUAGCAGCGAACGGGUGAGUAACGCGUGGGUAAUCUGCCUUUGAGCGUGGGACAACAUUUGGAAACGAAUGCUAAUACCGCAUAAAAACUUUAAACACAAGGUUUAAGUUUGAAAGAUGCAAUUGCAUCACUCAAAGAUGAUCCCGCGUUGUAUUAGCUUGUUUGUGAGGUAAAGGCUCACCAAGGCGAUGAUACAUAGCCGACCUGAGACGGUGAUCGGCCACAUUGGGACUGGGACACGGCCCAAAAUCCUAAGGGAGGGAGCCGGAGGGAAUCUUAGGGAAUGGAGGGAAGGCUGAACGAGGCACGCCGGGUGAGUGAAGAAAGGUUUCGGGUCGUAAAACUCUGUUGAUAGAGAAGAAAGUUGGUGAGAGUGGAAAGCUCAUAAAGUGACGGUAACUAACCAGAAAGGGACGGCUAACUACGUG